ensembl:snRNA U6 U6 spliceosomal RNA
GCUCACCUCAACAGCAUAUACUAAAAUUGGAACGAUUCAGCGAGGAUGAGCGUGGCCCCUGCACAAGGAUGACAGGCAAAUCUGUGAAGCCUUCCAUAUCUUA